GAUGAAGAACGUAGCGAAAUGCGAUAAGUAGUGUGAAUUGCAGAAUUCAGUGAAUCAUCGAAUCUUUGAACGCACAUUGCGCCCUUUUGUAUUCCUUAGGGCAUGCCUGUUCGAGCGUCAUUUAAACCUUCAAGCUCAGCUUGGUGUUGGGUGACUGUCCGCUUCACCGCGGACUCGCCUCAAAAUUAUUGGCGGCCGGUACAUUGGCUUCGAGCGCAGCAGAAACGCGAACUCGGGCCCGUCGUAUUGGCUCCCAGAAGCUAUCUUCACAAUUUUGACCUCGGAUCAGGUAGGGAUACCCGCUGAACUUAAGCAUAUCAAUAAGCGGAGGA
rnacentral:misc_RNA from 1 species